GCGGCGGACGGGUGAGUAACUCGUGGGCAACCUGCCCUGCAGACUGGGAUAACUUCGGGAAACCGGAGCUAAUACCGGAUAACACCGAAAACCGCAUGGUUUUCGGUUGAAAGGCGGCUUUUACCUGUCACUGCAGGAUGGGCCCGCGGCGCAUUACCUAGUUGGUGAGGUAACGGCUCACCAAGGCGACGAUGCGUAUCCGACCUGAAAGGGUGACCGGCCACACUGGGACUGAUACACGGCCCAGACUCCUACGGGAGGCAGCAGUACGGAAUCUUCCGCAAUGGACGAAAGUCUGACGGAGCAACGCCGCGUGAGCGAAGAAGGUCUUCGGAUCGUAAAGUUCUGUUGUCAGGGAAGAACAAUUACCGUUCGAACAUGGCGGUACCUUGACGGUACCUGACGAGGAAGCCACGGCUAACUACGUGCCAGCAGCCGCGGUAAUAC
rnacentral:rRNA from 1 species